AUAUUCCUGUACCGAUGUGUAGUGCGAUGUGGGGACGGAGAAGGUUAACUCAGCCAACUGUUGGAUAUGUUGGUUCAAGCUUGUAGUCGUGCCUGGUAGGUAAAUCCGCCGGGCUUAGAUGAGGGGUGAUAGCGAGGCUGCUUGCAGCCGAAGUGAGUGAUACCCUGCUUCCAGGAAAAGCCACUAAGCUUCAGCUAUACACGACCGUACCGCAAACCGACACUGGUGCGCGAGAUGAGUAUUCUAAGGCGCUUGAGAGAACUCAGGAGAAGGAACUCGGCAAAUUGACACCGUAACUUCGGAAGAAGGUGUGCCUUUAGUAGGUGAAGGGAUUUACUCCUGGAGCCCAAUGAGGUUGCAAAAAAUCGGUGGCUGCGACUGUUUAUUAAAAACACAGCACUCUGCAAACACGAAAGUGGACGUAUAGGGUGUGACGCCUGCCCGGUGCUGGAAGAUUAAAUGAUGGGGUGCAAGCUCUUGAUUGAAGUCCCAGUAAACGGCGGCCGUAACGAUAACGGUCCUAAGGUAGCGAAAUUCCUUGUCGGGUAAGUUCCGACCUGCACGAAUGGCGUAACGAUGGCCACACUGUCUCCUCCUGAGACUCAGCGAAGUUGAAAUGUUUGUGAUGAUGCAAUCUCCCCGCGGAAAGACGGAAAGACCCCAUGAACCUUUACUGUAGCUUUGUAUUGGACUUUGAACAGAUCUGUGUAGGAUAGGUGGGAAGCUUUGAAGCAGGGUCGCUAGAUCUUGUGGAGCCAACGUUGAAAUACCACCCUGGUGUGUUUGAGGUUCUAACCUAGGUCCAUUAUCUGGAUCGGGGACAGUGCAUGGUAGGCAGUUUGACUGGGGCGGUCUCCUCCCAAAGCGUAACGGAGGAGUUCGAAGGUACGCUAGUUACGGUCGGACAUCGUGACGAUAGUGCAAUGGCAUAAGCGUGCUUAACUGCGAGACUGACAAGUCGAGCAGAUGCGAAAGCAGGACAUAGUGAUCCGGUGGUUCUGUAUGGAAGGGCCAUCGCUCAACGGAUAAAAGGUACUCUGGGGAUAACAGGCUGAUACCGCCCAAGAGUUCAUAUCGACGGCGGUGUUUGGCACCUCGAUGUCGGCUCAUCUCAUCCUGGGGCUGUAGCCGGUCCCAAGGGUAUGGCUGUUCGCCAUUUAAAGAGGUACGUGAGCUGGGUUUAAAACGUCGUGAGACAGUUUGGUCCCUAUCUUCCGUGGGCGCUGCAGAUUUGAGGAGGCCUGCUCCUAGUACGAGAGGACCGGAGUGGACACACCUCUGGUGUAUCGGUUGUCACGCCAGUGGCAUUGCCGAGUAGCUAAGUGUGGAAGAGAUAACCGCUGAAAGCAUCUAAGCGGGAAACUCGCUUCAAGAUGAGAUCUGCCGGGGCCUUGAGCCCCCUAAAGAGUCGUUCAAGACCAGGACGUUGAUAGGCAGGGUGUGGAAGCGCAGUAAUGCGUUAAGCUAACCUGUACUAAUUGCUCGUGCGGCUUGACCCU
rnacentral:rRNA from 1 species